UCUACGCCUCACAAUCAGUAGCAUCUUUGCCGGAUUCUUCAUCUCUAACAAUAUUGUUGCAGUAUCAAUUCCCCAAACAGCCGUGCCACUCCACCUAAAACUUGUGGCCCUCAGCGUGACUAUCUAGGCUUUUCACUAGCAAUAGAACUUAGCCUUAUACCUAACAACCUUAAACUUAAGCACCCAUCACAAACAUUAAAUUUCUCAAACAUAUUAGGAUUUUACCCAGUCACAAUAAACCGUGUAAUCCCGCAUUCAAAUCUACAUGCAAGUCAAAAUCUAGCCUCCCUUCUACUAGAACUAAUUUCCUCAAUCUGUCUGUACC
rnacentral:lncRNA from 10 species